GGGGUGGGGCUCAGUGGCAGAGCACUUGCCUAGCAUGUGUGAGGCACUGGGUUCAAUCCUCAGCACCACG
rnacentral:tRNA from 1 species